UUAAAUUGAAGAGUUUGAUCAUGGCUCAGAUUGAACGCUGGCGGCAGGCCUAACACAUGCAAGUCGAACGGUAACAGAAAGCAGCUUGCUGCUUUGCUGACGAGUGGCGGACGGGUGAGUAAUGUCUGGGAAACUGCCUGAUGGAGGGGGAUAACUACUGGAAACGGUAGCUAAUACCGCAUAACGUCGCAAGACCAAAGAGGGGGACCUUAGGGCCUCUUGCCAUCGGAUGUGCCCAGAUGGGAUUAGCUAGUAGGUGGGGUAACGGCUCACCUAGGCGACGAUCCCUAGCUGGUCUGAGAGGAUGACCAGCCACACUGGAACUGAGACACGGUCCAGACUCCUACGGGAGGCAGCAGUGGGGAAUAUUGCACAAUGGGCGCAAGCCUGAUGCAGCCAUGCCGCGUGUAUGAAGAAGGCCUUCGGGUUGUAAAGUACUUUCAGCGGGGAGGAAGGGAGUAAAGUUAAUACCUUUGCUCAUUGACGUUACCCGCAGAAGAAGCACCGGCUAACUCCGUGCCAGCAGCCGCGGUAAUACGGAGGGUGCAAGCGUUAAUCGGAAUUACUGGGCGUAAAGCGCACGCAGGCGGUUUGUUAAGUCAGAUGUGAAAUCCCCGGGCUCAACCUGGGAACUGCAUCUGAUACUGGCAAGCUUGAGUCUCGUAGAGGGGGGUAGAAUUCCAGGUGUAGCGGUGAAAUGCGUAGAGAUCUGGAGGAAUACCGGUGGCGAAGGCGGCCCCCUGGACGAAGACUGACGCUCAGGUGCGAAAGCGUGGGGAGCAAACAGGAUUAGAUACCCUGGUAGUCCACGCCGUAAACGAUGUCGACUUGGAGGUUGUGCCCUUGAGGCGUGGCUUCCGGAGCUAACGCGUUAAGUCGACCGCCUGGGGAGUACGGCCGCAAGGUUAAAACUCAAAUGAAUUGACGGGGGCCCGCACAAGCGGUGGAGCAUGUGGUUUAAUUCGAUGCAACGCGAAGAACCUUACCUGGUCUUGACAUCCACGGAAGUUUUCAGAGAUGAGAAUGUGCCUUCGGGAACCGUGAGACAGGUGCUGCAUGGCUGUCGUCAGCUCGUGUUGUGAAAUGUUGGGUUAAGUCCCGCAACGAGCGCAACCCUUAUCCUUUGUUGCCAGCGGUCCGGCCGGGAACUCAAAGGAGACUGCCAGUGAUAAACUGGAGGAAGGUGGGGAUGACGUCAAGUCAUCAUGGCCCUUACGACCAGGGCUACACACGUGCUACAAUGGCGCAUACAAAGAGAAGCGACCUCGCGAGAGCAAGCGGACCUCAUAAAGUGCGUCGUAGUCCGGAUUGGAGUCUGCAACUCGACUCCAUGAAGUCGGAAUCGCUAGUAAUCGUGGAUCAGAAUGCCACGGUGAAUACGUUCCCGGGCCUUGUACACACCGCCCGUCACACCAUGGGAGUGGGUUGCAAAAGAAGUAGGUAGCUUAACCUUCGGGAGGGCGCUUACCACUUUGUGAUUCAUGACUGGGGUGAAGUCGUAACAAGGUAACCGUAGGGGAACCUGCGGUUGGAUCACCUCCUUACCUUAAAGAAGC
rnacentral:rRNA from 1 species